AACGUGCUGUCCGGUGCACGUGUGGAGGUGUUAGUGGGGCCGUUCUAACUGCUGUUUAUUUGCUCUGCCAGCCCACUUCCAGGACCCCUGGAGAGACAUCAGCCGUGGACCAAACAGAGGAAGCUUUGACUGGAGAAAAGGAGCAGGAGGUCUGAAGGACUUCCAGCAGCAAAACAAGAUGAAAAAUCUCUCAGAAGAAACGGGUUGGAGGGGCGGACGGGGUUCUACAUGGCCGUCAACAAGUCCCAACUUGUUGGAUUAUAUUCUCAGCCAUCUACUUUCCAGGCUGAUUCGUCUUCUUGACACUUCCUACAGAGUGGGAGCCAAAAAGAAGGUAAUGCGGAUGGAAGUAAGUCCUCUACCAUGGAAUCGGAGCCAAAGUACAACACAACGUAUUGCUCAACCUUUCCAGCUUGAACAUUCUUACAGGAAAAUAAGAAAUAGCAGUAAACAUAUUACUAAUAAACCA